CCUACGGGAGGCAGCAGUCGAGAAUCAUUCACAAUGGGGGAAACCCUGAUGGUGCGACGCCGCGUGGGGGAAUGAAGGUCUUCGGAUUGUAAACCCCUGUCAUGUGGGAGCAAAUUAAAAAGAUAGUACCACAAGAGGAAGAGACGGCUAACUCUGUGCCAGCAGCCGCGGUAAUACAGAGGUCUCAAGCGUGGUUCGGAAUCACUGGGCGUAAAGGGUGCGUAGGCUGUGUCGUAAGUCGGGUGUGAAAGGCGCGGGCUCAACCCGCGGACGGCACAUGAUACUGCGAGACUAGAGUAAUGGAGGGGGAACCGGAAUUCUCGGUGUAGCAGUGAAAUGCGUAGAUAUCGAGAGGAACACUCGUGGCGAAGGCGGGUUCCUGGACAUUAACUGACGCUGAGGCACGAAGGCCAGGGGAGCGAAAGGGAUUAGAUACCCCAGUAGUC
rnacentral:rRNA from 1 species